ensembl:snoRNA Gm22213 predicted gene, 22213
ACCCUCUGUUUCCCUUUCCCAUUGGAUCAAAUGGUGGUCAUUAAUGAGGUAGUACCCUUAAGUGGGCAUCACAACAAUGUAGUCUAGAGUACAGAACAGAAGGCCAGAUUAAAAAAUGC